ensembl:lncRNA
GGAAAAAAUCAGCUUAUGGGGAUUUGCAUGGUGUUUCUAUGACUGGAGCACAAUUUUUUUAGUUUGUUUUUUAAUUAAUUUUCUUUUAAGUUGGAAUAGAGAGGUGUUUUGAAGCCUGUUUUUAUACAUGGCAGGAACAUCAAAAACACAAAGCACAGGGGCUGGUACUCAGUCCUUUGCAAGCAAGACUGAUAAAGCAGAGCACCUUAGUGACUGAAGGUCUGAGAUUCAUUUUAAGCAAUGCCUGCCUAUUUGUUGUUACUUUUCAGAAAAAGCCCUGACCUUGCAGGCUUACAGGUGGAUUUUUCUUAACACUGGGUACAAUGCCAGCUCCAGCCAGAAACACAGCACCCUCCGUAAGCAAACAGCCUGAAAUAAAGGGCCAGAGGAGGGUUGUGAAGAGUCAGAGAGCUUGAGCCCAAAGCAUGGUGAAAACUUCUACAUGAGAGGAAAAUAAAAGAGCUAAAUCUGAUGGUCCAUGAAAAGCUGGUGAUAGCACAUGGAUGUGCAGCCAAAGGAGGAGGUAAGUUCAUUUGUGCAUUUGCAAGCACACAACACCAGUCCACAAUUGUUGCAUGUGGCACAGUUGUGACUUUUUUCAUCAGAAGGGACACUGUAAAAUGCUGUGAGGUGAGGUCUGUGCCUGUCCCUCUGCCUGUGGUGUGAGCUGACUGCUAGUCAAGGAGAGCCCAUGCCAGCUGAUGGGAAAGGUGCAUGUCAAAGGGCUGAUGCACCACUUGAUAUCCAUUUAUUCCAGAGCACUUCUGCCAAGGCUUCCAUGAGGAAUGUGUGGGUGGGAGCUCUUGCCCCAUCUCUCACACAUGUGUGUUACCCAAACCACAGCAAAGGAGAAACAUGGAAGCAACGCUGUGCUGAAGACACCAAAAGAAGCUGACUGCAGAGCAGGGACCUCUGUUGCCCCCCCAGAUCCCCAGCCUGGCAACCUGAGAGUUGGCUGUAGCUAUUUCAUUUCCAGGAAAGAGGCUGAUGCUGUUGACCGUGGAAGCUCUCUGGGAGGAAGGACGAAGGCAUUCUGCAUUUGAAGAGCUUCCAGAAAAGCCUGACAAUUACAAAUUUCAGAGGAGGAGGUUUGAUCUGGAGAGUGAAAACAGCUUGCUGCUUGGAGGACUGUCCACAAAAGAACAAAGCUCUGAGAACACUUCCCUGCGCUGUGCCCCGCUAGAGAUAACGUAGAGCCAAGAUGCUGGCCUCAGGAAACACAACUAUGUGAGACAGUCUCUUGUUAAAUGUUCUGUUUCUUUGUUUUCCUAGGAUUCAUGUGCUCCAGUGCCUGGUACUCUGGGUGUUGGUGCUCCUUUGGAUCUGAUGGGCUGGGAGGCUAGUGCUUCGGUAUUCUCAGCUCCUGCUUGUAAGAAAGAGGAAUCAUGUUAGCUCAUCUUACAGGGAUGCUGGUGCACUUUCCUGACAGUCUUUAAUAGCUGGUGCUGUGGAAGAAGACUGGAGUCUUCUUUAAUCAGGCAUGCAUCUCUCCAGAUUUGUGUCUGGCGUGUCACUGGCAACAUGUGAGGAAGAAAUACUCAUGAAAGGGCUAAUGUUCCUGCACAACAACAUUAAUGGGAAAUCAGUUCUGGAUACACAGAAGUGGAAACUCCUUGUGGCAGCUGAAUGGAGAGUUAUGGAUGCCUAGAAAAGUGAGGUGACAUUGUAUGAUCUGUGCAUCCUGGAAAUCAAUCAGCACUACAGUUAUAAAACAUCUCCACUUGUCUGCUUUGGCAGACUGGUCAUAAUGAAGAAUUU